GGGGAAGGGGUGUUUGAAGAGUUUGACACUUCUCCGCUAGGGACCACCACAAGUCAAUGCCCUAGAGAUGGUGGCGAUUGCGGCGGCGACUUCUAUACAGUAUAUAUAUAUUCAAAGGUAAUAUUUGUUGUUUAUAUAAAAAAAAAAAAAAAAAAUUGUAAGUACAGAAAUAGGUUUUCUAAAAUGUUGACCCGCACAUCGAGGAACCCCGGUGGAUGGCGGCGCGCGCGUCAGUUGGCCUGCUGCGUCAGCAGGGUGAGCAGCUCCUCGUGGUCCAUGUUGUUGAGCGUGUGGAUGUCGAUGCCCAGCGCGUUGGCCACGCUCGCCAUGUCCAGCCCGAACGACUUGAGCAGCUCGAUGAAGUCCAUCUCCUCGCCGGUGAAGGGGUUGUGCAGCUUGGGGCAGGAGUGGUUGCACUGCGGCCAGGAGCACCGCUCCACGUGGCGGUACUGGCACUGCACCGACCGCUGCUCCCGCCGGCGACUCCCCUUCCUGCCUGCGGGGGCCAGACACACCCCGCUCGCUCACGCCGUUCUACCGACGCACACUUUCAGCUGAAGACGCUGACACAACCAGGUGUAUGAACUAGGAAAUACAUUUUUCACAUUUUUUUUAAGUUAAAAACAUACUGUCGAUCAUUUUGCAUAAGAUAGCUUAAAUUUAGAAGACUGGUGUGCAUUUAUAUUUGUUAAGUUGAUUGUGCUCUUUUUUAAGAUUUUCAGCCGAGAUGCAAAUUUUUGGAGAGAAAAAAAAUCUAUUGUAACCUUCAGAGAAUGUUUGUACUGAGAACUUUAUUGUACUUUUAGAGGCUAGUGAUAAAAUACACAAAUUUUAACAGUUUGCAGAAUAAAACUUUUUUUGAGCUAGGCAGGGCCCUUGAUGAGGUUUUUUAAUUAACAGCAUGUAAAAAAAAAAUGGGUGGUAGCAUUUAAAAAGCAAAGCCCUGCCAUCUGUAGUGUCGUGCUAGCUCUCAGGAAUUUUUCACCAGCCGCGUCAUAAAAUCAAGUGCGGGAGCAGGAAGGUCAGUUGAAAUAACCAACCUUUUUUCUUUUUACCCCUGUUCCUUUCCGGCCUGUUCUUGUUCCUGUUGCCGUUGUGUUUCUUCCUGCGCCGCCGCCGCCUGUCGUGCCUGCUGCCGGGGGCCGAGGUCGCGUUGGUCCGGUAGCUCAUGCGCUGCAGGCUCUGGGCCGCCGGGGGCUCGUCACCCAGCAUCGGCACCGCCAGCCUUGCAGAGACGGGACAGAUGCUAUCACCGGUGCCUUUCGGGUGGUCCCACUCCGAAUGCUAACCUAAAUUACUGCAUUUGCAACAGGCUCUCAUCAAUGAAGCAAGAAGGCACAGUUAUAAGUAAAAUGGUCUCACAUUUCAGAGGACUCUAAUCCAGCCAUUCAUUUCAGUUUUUUUGUUUUAGCUAACCCAAAAUCACUCCAGGCAAAUGCUGUGAUUGUCACUUUCUACUAAGACUUUUUUUUUCCUUUUUUUUUCCAUCUUUAAUAACCUUGGUUCUUGAAUACACUACUCAAACACAGUUCUGCUACACCCAUUUAUCUUGCUAACAUAAUAUGUACAAUUUACAGGUUUCUGGCUCAGUUUUGGUAAGGUCUGUACAGUAAGAUACGUGUUUUAGUAAAAUAAAGUGUGUAUGUACUU